rnacentral:rRNA from 1 species
ACAGGCUUAACACAUGCAAGUCGAGGGGCAGCAUUGGAGUAGCAAUACUUCAGAUGGCGACCGGCGCACGGGUGAGUAACACGUAUCCAACCUGCCGCUUACUCGGGGAUAGCCUUUCGAAAGAAAGAUUAAUACCCGAUGGUAUAAAGAGUUCGCAUGUUCUCUUUAUUAAAGAAUUUCGGUAAGCGAUGGGGAUGCGUUCCAUUAGAUAGUUGGCGGGGUAACGGCCCACCAAGUCUACGAUGGAUAGGGGUUCUGAGAGGAAGGUCCCCCACAUUGGAACUGAGACACGGUCCAAACUCCUACGGGAGGCAGCAGUGAGGAAUAUUGGUCAAUGGACGCGAGUCUGAACCAGCCA